rfam:TPA: Bos taurus chromosome 29, whole genome shotgun sequence.
UCCCUGUUGGCUCAGAAUGUAAAGAAUCUGCCUGCAAUGCAGGAGACUCAGGUUCCAUCCCUGGGUUGGGAA